CAAAUUUAAAAUCUGGCUGGUUUACUAGUCCGAAUUGUAGUUUAUAGAAGCGUUUUCGGUGGCAGCCUGGGUAUAAAUCCUUUGGAAUAGGGUAUCAUAGAGGGUGAGAAUCCCGUCUUUGACUCAGUGCAUGCUACUAUGUGAUACGUUUUCAAAGAGUCGAGUUGUUUGGGAAUGCAGCUCAAAAUGGGUGGUAAAUUUCAUCUAAGGCUAAAUAUUGGCGAGAGACCGAUAGCGAACAAGUACCGUGAGGGAAAGAUGAAAAGAACUUUGAAAAGAGAGUUAAACAGUGCGUGAAAUUGUUGAAAGGGAAACGCUUGACACCAGUUAUGCGGGUGGAAAAUCAGUCUUUUGCAAUGGGGAGUUGUGGGCGUUCAGACCGCAAGGCUGGCGUUUGCUUCAUCUUUGUUGUAAGUGAUGCACUUUUUCAUUUGCAGGUCAACAUCAGUUUGCUUUGCUGGACAAAACCCCAAGGGAAGGUGACAGCUUAGGCUGUGUUAUAGCCCUGGGGCGAUACAGUGGAGUGGACUGAGGUUUCGCAGUGUGUGCUCUCGGGCAAGGCUGAUUGGGUGCUAUGGGAUCGUUCGGCGUACAAUGCAUGCAUUUUGCGUCGUGUCCUUUUCAUACUCGCUCAACUCGGCUCUUCCACGCUUAGGAUGUUGACUUAAUGGUUUUAAUCGACCCGUCUUGAAACACGGACCAAGGAGUCUAACAUAUAUGCAAGUGUUUGGGUGGCAAACCCAUGCGCGUAAUGAAAGUGAACGUAGGUGCGAUCCGCAAGGUGCAGCAUCGACCGAUCUUGAUAUUUUUGGAUAGAUUUGAGUAAGAGCAUAUAUGCUGGGACCCGAAAGAUGGUGAACUAUGCCUGAAUAGGGUGAAGCCAGAGGAAACUCUGGUGGAGGCUCGUAGCGAUUCUGACGUGCAAAUCGAUCGUCAAAUUUGGGUAUAGGGGCGAAAGACUAAUCGAACCAUCUUGAGUCGC
rnacentral:rRNA from 1 species